rnacentral:tRNA from 1 species
GAGGGUAUAGCUCAGUAGAGGGUAGGGUGUGUGCUUAGCAUACACAGGGUCCUGGGUUCAAUCCCCAGUACCUCCA